rnacentral:rRNA from 1 species
CUGCGGGGUGCUGCAGUGAGGAAUAUUGCACAAUGGGGGGAACCCUGAUGCAGCAACGCCGCGUGGAGGAUGACGCAUUUCGGUGUGUAAACUCCUUUUAUAUGUCAAGAAAAUGACGGUAGCAUAUGAAUAAGCACCGGCUAACUCCGUGCCAGCAGCCGCGGUAAUACGGAGGGUGCAAGCGUUACUCGGAAUCACUGGGCGUAAAGGACGCGUAGGCGGGUUGGAAAGUCAGGUGUGAAAUCCUACAGCUUAACUGUAGAACUGCACUUGAAACUUCUAAUCUAGAGUAUGGGAGGGGGAGAUGGAAUUAGUGGUGUAGGGGUAAUAUCCGUAGAUAUCACUAGGAAUACCUAAAGCGAAGGCGAUCUCCUGGAACAUUACUGACGCUAAGGCGUGAAAGCGUGGGGAGCAAACAGGAUUAGAUACCCCUGUAGUC